AGGUGCAAGGAAAAAAACACAGACCCGGUUGGUAGUCCGGGCGCAGCGAAAGCUGUCAGUAACCUGCCUCCUUGGUUGUCCGUUCUUUGCGAAACAACA
rnacentral:ncRNA from 1 species